ACAAGGUUAAUGUUGUAUCAUUGAGAGAACUGUAUGUAAGAACAUGUAGCAUUUAAAGGGUUAAACGCUGGUUCCUUAAGAGAUGGCUUUUGGGAAAUGUAGUUUUGGUUAUUAUAUGAUUAUAUCUGUGUUCUGGUUGGUUACUGGGAGGGUCUUGUGUUUAUGAUCAGACAUCCUGUUAGGUGCCAGGUUUCCACUUACUUGCCUGCAUGAGUCCUAGCCAUGUAGUGGCUAAGCUGAGAUCUCUAGCAACAUGUAAGGUUUAUGCAGAAGGGGGAAAUCCAUUGUUCUUCUACCUGUGAGAUGAGUCCAAAUUACUGCCUACAUUCUGGAAGAAUUUCUACAAUAACUGGCCACAUGACUAUCAUUACUAUGACAGCACGGAACACAGCAACACAAACGUUCCAAAUGGAUUGGCCAAGAUACCUAUCCUUCCAUCCCACCCCACUAUAUCUAUUCCUAGAGAGAAAAAACAUUGCCUAUGAUUUUCUUGAAAGUGAAUGCUGGUAUAAAAUACAAUGAGAUUUCUCAUAUUUUCCAUUUGGUUGGUAAAGAUAUGAAAGCCCAAAGCAGACCUUCUCAGCCAUGGUCCUAUCGCUGGAAGAACUUGCUGAGAGGUUAGGAUGUUUCUUCCCCUCAAAAAGGCUGGAGUUCAAGAUAGCAUAUACCAUACUCCCUCCUCCGGGCUUUCCCCAGAGCAAAAGCAGCGCAAAUAAGUUGGAAUAAGAGAGCAUUUCCAUGGCUAAGGCAGGAUUUCAACCUUACAAGGAUACCUCCAUAGGCCCAGCUAUACAUCAUGAUACAUGUAUGAUUAUAUUGCAUGUAAAGAUGCAAGUCGCACCCAGAAAAGCCGAUGGCUUUUCUUAAGCAAACUCAAGAUACUAGAAAUUUAAUUCCAGUGCUGUAUAUGUUCCCCCAUCAGCCUUUUAUAUCA